rnacentral:rRNA from 1 species
GCUCGUAGUUGGAUCUCGGCGGACAGAAGUCGGUCCGAAUGCUUUCGGUACUGGCUUGUUUGUCCGUGUGUUUUGCCAGAGGCAGGCGGGUGCUCUUCGCCGAGUGUCCGUCUGUGCUGGCAGGUUUACUUUGAAAAAAUUAGAGUGCUCAAAGCAAGCUCUCACGCUUGAAUAUUCGUGCAUGGAAUAAUAGAAUAGGAUGUCGUUUCUAUUUUGUUGGUUUUCGGAAAUCGACAUAAUGAUUAAUAGGGACAGUCGGGGGCAUUUGUAUUCAAACGACAGAGGUGAAAUUCUUGGACCGUUUGAAGACAAACUACUGCGAAAGCAUUUGCCAAGAAUGUUUUCAUUAAUCAAGAACGAAAGUUAGAGGUUCGAAGGCGAUUAGAUACCGCCCUAGUUCUAACCAUAAACGAUGCCAGCUAGCGAUCUGCAGGCGUUUUACUUUACGACCUUGCAGGGAGCUUCCGGGAAACCAAAGCUUGUGGGUUCCAGGGGAAGUAUGGUUGCAAAGCCGAAACUUAAAGGAAUUGACGGAAGGGCACCACCAGGAGUGGAGCCUGUGGCUUAAUUUGACUCAACACGGGAAAUCUCACCAGGCCCGGACACGAGAAGGAUUGACAGAUUGAUAGCUCUUUCUUGAUUUCGUGGGUGGUGGUGCAUGGCCGUUCUUAGUUGGUGGAGUGAUUUGUCUGGUUAAUUCCGAUAACGAACGAGACUCUGUCCUGCUAACUAGUGUCUGCUUCUUUUCUGAGCAGAUUAUUCUUCUUAG